CCCUCCUCUGGAGAUUCAUAGCAAGCCCCAGGAUACAGGACUUUGCCUGGGCUGUUGGAUGUCCACAAUCGGGUCUUAGAACUCCACCUUCCUGCUCCUGAUGAGGGGAGACAGUGACCACUGCUGGAGCAAGACUGGUUCCUCCAUGCUGAGCCAGAGCCAUUCCACUGAACACAGCUGGUGGCUUCUCAGGAAGCCUGUUCACUGUGCCCAGUUGGAUCUACUGGUGUGUAGUAGAACAUGACUGUAACCUCAACCAGAAUCUGAAGAGCACAGUUUAUGUGCAAGGCACUAUGCGUAUUUGCCAUGAGUGAAUCAGGAGUGAAGGCUGUAAAGCAAUUAGACCCAA